rnacentral:rRNA from 1 species
UACGUAGGCAGCGAGCGUUGUUCGGAAUUACUGGGCGUAAAGAGCUCGUAGGCGGCCUGUUGCGUCCGCUGUGAAAGCCCGGGGCUUAACCCCGGGUCUGCAGUGGAUACGGGCAGGCUAGAGGUAGGUAGGGGAGAAUGGAAUUCCCGGUGUAGCGGUGAAAUGCGCAGAUAUCGGGAGGAACACCGGUGGCGAAGGCGGUUCUCUGGGCCUUACCUGACGCUGAGGAGCGAAAGCGUGGGGAGCGAACAGG